rnacentral:rRNA from 1 species
AUUGAACGCUAGCGGCAUGCCUAACACAUGCAAGUCGAACGGAGUGGCGAACGGGUGAGUAAUGCAUCGGAACGUGCCCAGUAGCGGGGGAUAACUACGGGCAAGGGUAGCUAAUACCGCAUACUAUCGGAGGGGCCGAUAUCGGAUUAGCUAGGUGGUGGGGUAACGGCUUACCAAGGCGACGAUCCGUAGCUGGUUGGAGAGGACGAACAGCCAAACGGGGACUGAGACACGGCCCAGAGUCCUACGGGAGGCAGCAGUGGUGAAUGUUGGACAAUGGGCGAAAGCCUGAUCCAGCCAUGCCGCGUGUGUGAUGAAGGCCUUCGGGUUGUAAAGCACUUUUGGCUGGAAGGCGGUACCUGCAGAAUAAGCACCGGCUAACUACGUGCCAGCAGCCGCGGUAAUUC